rnacentral:rRNA from 1 species
GAUGAACGCUGGCGGCGUGCCUAAUACAUGCAAGUCGAGCGAACAGACGAGUAGCUUGCUCCUCUGACGUUAGCGGCGGACGGGUGAGUAACACGUGGAUAACCUACCUAUAAGACUGGGAUAACUUCGGGAAACCGGAGCUAAUACCGGAUAAUAUAUUGAACCGCAUGGUUCAAUAGUGAAAGACGGUUUUGCUGUCACUUAUAGAUGGAUCCGCGCCGCAUUUGCUAGUUGGUAAGGGAACGGCUUACCAAGGCAACGAUGCGUAGCCGACCUGAGAGGGUGAUCGGCCACACUGGAACUGAGACACGGUCCAGACUCCUACGGGAGGCAGCAGUAGGGAAUCUUCCGCAAUGGGCGAAAGCUUGACGGAGCAACGCCGCGUGAGUGAUGAAGGUCUUCGGAUCGUAAAACUCUGUUAUUAGGGAAGAACAAAUGUGUAAGUAACUAUGCACGUCUUGACGGUACCUAAUCAGAAAGCCACGGCUAACUACGUG